rnacentral:rRNA from 1 species
GAUGAACGCUGGCGGCGUGCCUAAUACAUGCAAGUCGAACGCUGGGGAUCUAGCUUGCUAGAUCGACGGAGUGGCGAACGGGUGAGUAAUACAUAAGCAACCUACCCACGAAGACUGGGAUAAUCUCUGGAAACGGGGACUAAUACCGGAUAGGUAAUCGGAAGGCAUCUUCUGGUUAUUAAAGGUUAAAAACACUGGUGGAUGGGUUUAUGGCGCAUUAGUUAGUUGGUGAGGUAACGGCCCACCAAGACGAUGAUGCGUAGCCGGCCUGAGAGGGUGAACGGCCACAUUGGGACUGAGACACGGCCCAGACUCCUACGGGAGGCAGCAGUAGGGAAGUUUCGGCAAUGGGGGCAACCCUGACCGAGCAACGCCGCGUGAGUGAAGACGGCCUUCGGGUUGUAAAGCUCUGUUGUAAGGGAAGAACGGUAGAUAGAGAAUAUCUAAGUGACGGUACCUUACCAGAAAGCCACGGCUAACUACGUG